CACCCAUCAGUGGGGGACGUCUGUGUGGAAGUGUUUCAUUCAAAUUUGGUCUCACAUUGGAUUCUAACUGUCUGCUACAUACAGAGGAACGGGUAUGAAGAGCUGUAAUAUGCUGGUGGCCGACCAUGUGACAUUUCCCAGCCCGGCCUUGUGCACCAACAAGAUAAGCAGAGAUAGGGAGGAAGCACGGAUCAGUGCAGUGUCAUCUUUAUCAUAGGAGCAUGUCCGCAUCAAUGCCGUGUCUGUUGUCUGUCGAACUGCGGCCCCUUCCUCCCAUUGUAAUCCUUGCACAAUGUCGACGGGCUACAAAGGUCAAAGUUACAGCAAGGGUUAUCUCCUCCUGAAUGAGUUCUAUUCAUGGCUAGAGAUGUCGGGGAAACAUACUUUUUUAAGUCACAAAGAAUCAUUAAUGUGUUACAGUGGUAGCUUUAUCUAAAUCUGUCAAGAGCUGCGCUGACACAGAACGGUGUGCCUUGCUGGGAUUACGGGGCCUGUGCUUGAUUUGGGAGGCUGUCACAGAGUUCAGCUUGUGUAUCUAUGUUGUUAGAGCUAAUACUGCCACCACACCACCGGUGGAAAAUGAUUUGAUUUGAAAGUCGUCUUCCAUUAUUUGGGGCUGAAUUGUGUUAUUGAGUUAAGUAAUCACAGACUAGACAGAACCAAGUGUUCAGGACAAGCGAUCAUCGCGCAUGCCGUUAUUUUCGUUGACCCGUUAAUAGGUGCAGGGCAGGUACUCAAUAACGGAUCAUCCUUGCUUGUUACAGACAGGGCGGUGAUUAAUGCUAUGUACCACCGUCAUACGACAAACGUAAAAGCAUGUAAACGGAUACUACGGUCAUGUUAAGUGAUUUCUAGCUGUUACAGACAAAUAAAUUGUGAUUUACUUACAAGCUGUUUUGGUGAUAAUAAAAAUGUCAUGCCCCUG